UACAGAGGGGGCAAGCGUUGUUCGGAAUUACUGGGCGUAAAGGGCGCGUAGGCGGCCUUCUAAGUCGAACGUGAAAUCCCCGGGCUCAACCCGGGAACCUGCGUCCGAGACUGGAAGGCUCGAAUCCGGGAGAGGGAUGUGGAAUUCCAGGUGUAGCGGUGAAAUGCGUAGAUAUCUGGAGGAACAUCGGUGGCGAAGGCGGCAUCCUGGACCGGGUAGU
rnacentral:rRNA from 1 species